GGAUCAUACCACAUAUGCCCUUGUCAUAGAGCAGUUAGCCUACCCUAUCAUCUGUGAGUAUAUUUUAUUAUACUUUUUAUGCUAGCAAUAUUUUACUGAGAGCACUAUUGCUGUUUUAUUAUCUUCCCUCUGAGCUCCUGUGACCAUCUCCAAGAUCACUCCUCAUAUAUCCCAGAAGCGGGGAUCAUACCGCUGCAAGCCUACCAUACUAGAGCUGGUAUAAGCUCUAUUAAAUGUGAGUGUAUCUACUAUUUUUUAUUACCUUUUAUCCACUGUGGAACAAACUGCACCAUUAUUGUUUCCAUUUUUAUUUCCCCCUUGGCUGUCUGUCACUGCAGGAUCGCUUGCAUUCGGUUCUACACCACUUAGAAGGGCACUGUUUGGUGGGAUUGUUUCCACGAACAAGGUGAACAAGCUCCAGGGUAAGAACAUUGGCUAUGUUCGGUAGUUUGUUUGGCUUUUAAACUACCGAACUAGAUUGACCGCAAGCCCUGAUUCUCUGGAACUGUUUUGGACAUGGGACCAUGAGUGCGGUCGGUCAAAUUAUGACUUCCAGAAAAUUCCUUAACCAAUCUGGGUGAUUUUUGGAUAUGUUGGUCACCCAGAUCGGGGCUAUCAGGGGAUGUAACUUUUGUGGGGGUUUGUGUGUCUAAAGGCAUUUUAAGGGUUUUUAAAAUAUGUAUGUUUUCUGUACCUGGAGAUAUUUGAGUUUAGUACAGUCCCUGACUCAAUUAUCUCCCAGGCACAGAGGAGGGAUUAUCUUGUUUUAUGUGGGAGUAUCCUGGACCUGAGAGCCAAUGUAAUUGUGUUUUUUACUGUAGUCUACUCUCAGGUCCAGGGGGGAGUGCCCUUUGCAUGGGGAACUGCAUAUAAGGUCAGUUGUGGCUACCAAUAAACGAGUUCCAGUUUACCCUCAACACAGAACCUCAUCUCGUGAUUGUAGAGGAAGGCUAUACCAGCUAUAAUCCCUGCUCCUGGGAUUGUUCUUUGGAUUGCUAUAAUCACUAGCUCUGCGAUACCUGCUAUACUCUCUUGGAGUAGAGGUCUUCUCACUGGGAGCUUGAUCCAGGAGUUUUGUCCAGCUGCAGCGGCUAAGGGGCUACAGUGCUUAUGGUGUCUGGUGCGGUGCUUAUGGUACUCGGUGACAGAUAGAAAGCAUUGAUUGGCAGAGGCACCCAAUCAGAGUGUCAGGCGGUCCGUCACAGGUAUUAUCUUCCUUCAGCCACUCAGAAACCACUUUAGAAUAUACCGAGACCCAUUUACCCCCAGGAACUGGACGAGACACAGCUCUGGAGGUACAACACCAUUUUAUUGGCCACACACGGCUGUUAUGCAUAACCCCAUGCAAGGGGUUUACCACACAACCAUACAGAGUCCCAUCCCAGGAUACUCCCCCUCCCCGGGGCCCUAGCACGAUUUCAAGAUCAGAGACAACAUGGGUUUACUUCAGGGAGAUCAUGCCCAACUAAUCUUAUUGAUUUUUUUGAUUGGGUAACUAAAAUAAUAGAUCAGGGUGGCGCAGGAGACAUUGCUUACCUAGAUUUCAGUAAGGCUUUUGACACUGUUGCACAUAGAAGGCUUAUCAAUAAACUGCAGCCUUUAAGUUUGGAUUCCAAUAUUGUGACAGGCAACAGAGGAUUGUAGUCAAUGGAUUAUAUUCAAAGCGUGGGCUUGUGGGGUACCUCAGGGAUAUGUACUUGGACCCAUUCUCUUUAAUAUUUUUAUUAGUGAUAUUGCAGAAGGUCUUGAUGUAAGGUAUGUCUUUUUGCCGCAGAUAUGUAACAGGGUUGAUGUUCCAGGAGGGAUAAGCAAAAUGGCAAAUGAUUUAGGUAACGUAGAAAAAUGGUCAGAGUUAAGGCAGCUGACAUUUAAUGUGGAUAAGUGCAAGAUAAUGCAUCUUGGACGUAAAAACCCAAGGGCAGAGUACAGAAUAUUUGAUAGAGUCCUAACCUCAACAUCUGAGGAAAGGGAUUUAGGGGUGAUUAUUUCUGAUGACUUAAAAGUAGGCAGACAAUGGAAUAGAGCAGCAGGAAAUGCUAGCAGAAUGCUUGGUUGUAUAGAGAGAGGUAUUAGCAGUAGAAAGAGGGAAGUGCUCAUGCCAUUUGUAACGGAUCACCUUCCAUUAAUGGACGCUUCCUAGCUUGCGCCGAGGACCACAAGCACCGCACUGGACACCACAAUAACCGCAGACUCCACAACUGCCGUAGCUUAACUGGAGCCUCGCCAUCUAAAGUCCACCCUGGAUCAGCUUCUGUCCUCCAGGACCGUGUGGGAAAGACAUAUAUUGCACUAUUGGAUCCUUUCUCUCCACAUAUAUCUGUAUCCUGCUCAAGACUGACAAGACGUGCCCUGCUGUAUAUAUCCUGAGACGGGGAUUGUUCCAUCUAUGCCAAAAAACAGCUGAGCUCUUAGUUAGCUCUGGGAAAUGUGAGUGUGACCAUAUUUGAUGCACUCAUAUAUCAGAUAAUUAUACUUGCGAUAUUGCACUAUUAUCUUCAUGUUCUUUUAUUUUUGAAGUCAAUUGCAUAUAGAUCACUGUAUACUUGUGUUCGUAUACAUAUUUAUUGUCUACGGCGCGGUUUCCUAUUUCCCCCUGUCUGCACAUAUAACAACCAGGUACCUCCUCAAGUCAUAUUCCCGGAUAGCCUGGACCUGAGCGCCCAAUAUAUUAAUAAACGCUCAGAUCCCAUGAACACAGCCGAAUCGCCACCGGGGUAAAGUUUUGACUGACCGCACACGAGGCGUCUGUCCAAAAUAGUUCCAGGAGAAAAGAGGUGGUGGUCGGUCUCUUUCGGGAGUUCGAAAACGUAUAAAAAACUGAACAUAUGCCAUAGCUGGUAUAUAGAUAGUGUUCACCUAAUCCAUGCGAAUGAUUCCACUGAACUGUUCUCUUCUAAGAUGUAAAGAAACACAGACAAGGAUGGAAGUUAAGCGGUGUUCUCGGGGUCGAGUUUCCUAUUUUAGUUCCAUGCACUCGACGACCAAACACCGCCACUGUUAUACGGAGUAAUAGCAGUGUUAUGAGGAACACAUUAUAUAGAGUAAUAGCAGUGUUAUAUGGAGCAUGUUAUAUUGAGUAAUUGGAGUGUUAAACAGAGCACAUUAUAUGGAGUAAUAGGAGUGUUGUUAUACGGAGUAAUAGCAGUGUUAUACGGAGCACAUUAUAUGGAGUAAUGGCAGUGUUAUACGGAGCACAUUAUAUGGAGUAAUAGGAGUGUUACACGGAGCACAUUAUAUGGAGUAAUAGGAGUGUUACACGGAGCACAUUAUAUGGAGUAAUAGGAGUGUUACACGGAGCACAUUAUAUGGAGUAAUAGGAGUGUUAUACGGAGCACAUUAUAUGGAGUAAUAGGAGUGUUAUACAGAGCACAUUAUAUGGAGUAAUAGGAGUGUUAUACGGAGCACAUUAUAUGGAGUAAUAGGAGUGUUACACGGAGCACAUUAUAUGGAGUAAUAGGAGUGUUACACGGAGCACAUUAUAUGGAGUAAUAGGAGUGUUAUACGGAGCACAUUAUAUGGAAUAAUAGGAGUGUUAUACGGAGCACAUUAUAUGGAGUAAUAGGAGUGUUAUACGGAGUAAUAGCAGUGUUAUACGGAGCACAUUAUAUGGAGUAAUGGCAGUGUUAUACGGAGCACAUUAUAUGGAGUAAUAGGAGUGUUGUUAUACGGAGUAAUAGCAGUGUUAUACGGAGCACAUUAUAUGGAGUAAUAGGAGUGUUAUACGGAGCACAUUAUAUGGAGUAAUAGGAGUGUUAUACGGACGGAGCACAUUAUAUGGAGUAAUAGGAGUGUUAUACGGAGCACAUUAUAUGGAGUAAUAGGAGUGUUAUACGGAGCACAUUAUAUGGAGUAAUAGGAGUGUUAUACGGAGUAAUAGCAGUGUUAUACGGAGCACAUUAUAUGGAGUAAUGGCAGUGUUAUACGGAGCACAUUAUAUGGAGUAAUAGGAGUGUUGUUAUACGGAGUAAUAGCAGUGUUAAACGGAGCACAUUAUAUGGAGUAAUAGGAGUGUUAUACGGAGCACAUUAUAUGGAGUAAUAGGAGUGUUACACGGAGCACAUUAUAUGGAGUAAUAGCAGUGUUAUACGGAGCACAUUAUAUGGAGUAAUAGGAGUGUUAUACGGAGCACAUUAUAUGGAGUAAUAGGAGUGUUAUACGGAGCACAUUAUAUGGAGUAAUAGGAGUGUUAUACGGAGCACAUUAUAUGGGGUAAUAGGAGUGUUAUACGGAGCACAUUAUAUGGAGUAAUAGCAGUGUUAUACGGAGCACAUUAUAUGGAGUAAUAGGAUGUAUUGUAUCAAUUGCAUUUUAAUAUUGUGGUCUCUGAGGAAGUCCCUAUGUUGUUAAAGGGACGAAACGCGUAGGACCUUAUUUAUAUUCAUUUUAUUUUUAUUUUUUUAAUAUUGAAUUAAAGCCGCUUUUUCAAAACUUCACCCGGAGUCCUGUGUUGGAGUAAAAAUAUCCAGGGGAUCUCCCAGGCCCCCCAUAUUUUCAGGGGAGUAAUAGGAGUGUUAUAUGGAGCACAUUAUAUGGAGUAAUAGGAGUGUUACACGGAGCACAUUAUAUGGAGUAAUAGGAGUGUUAUACGGAGCACAUUAUACGGAGUAAUAGGAGUGUUAUACGGAGCACAUAAUAUGGAGGAAUAGGAGUACUAUACAAUAUAUCAGUUUUUAUGCUGUAUCUGAUACGCACAUUUCUCCCUGAAUAAUCAGUAUUUGGCAGACAUGGACGGGUCAGGCAGCGGGCGGCAGGACAGAUAGAGUAAUGACUGGAAGAUGACAUGUACAUUCCUGUACUUCUCUCUACU